CUGGGCACAUAGGCCACAGCAGCUCAGUGGAAGGGGAAUUGGGCGGCAGCCAAGGGGCAUCCACGCCGUGCUAGGGUGCACCUGCCCCUCGGAGCUCAUGGGGUACCAGAGCAGAGGGGUAUGCUGCCCACCCCUCCCCAUCCUGCAGAGGAAUCUGAAGCAGGAGGUGAGGAUGGCGUUGGAGGGUCAGGAAUGUGGAUGCCCCCCACCCACCUAUCCACCUACCCUGGCAUCUUCCGGUCAGCACAGCCUCUCUUGGAAAAAGAAAAGUCUAGCUCAGCAAUUCUCAGCCUAGGGGGUUUGCCCCCAGGGGACCUUUGGCAGUGUCUGGAGACAUUUCUGGCUGUGACACCUAGAGGUGGGGGUGACCCUGGCAUCUAGUGGGAGGACAGAGAUGCUGCUCAGCAUCGUGCUGUGCAUACAGCUCCCAACAAAGAGGAGCGCACCCUAAACACCGAUCACGCGAAAGCAGAGAAACCUCGCUCAGCCAGACAUGGUGCCCACACGCCGGGGCCUUACGUGCUGGGAUCUCCUAUCCCCACCUCAGUAAAAUCAGCAGCACAUGGUCCUACCCUUUACGAGGUUUGUUUCACUCUCGGCACAAUGGAAUGAGAUGGCGCACAUUUCAAAGGCUCCAGGACAUAAAAAAAAUUAUCAUUCUCGCUGUUAUUCAGAACCUAAAACUGGCUGGACAGCGACAGAAGCCCAUGAACUUCACACUCCCCAUCCACAUUUUUCUUGCCCAAAGCACGUUCUCCACAAGAGCGUGGGGGUAAUAGCUCCUCUGGGGAGCUGCCAGGCCUCCCCACAUGCACCCAGCCACAGUCUAAACCCUUUGACUGGGACGACUGGCCCCCUCCUGGGGUGGUGGGUGCUCAGAGCAGCCCCACUGACCUCCGCCCUGGCAGACUCGUGUGUGCCCUUCUGCUCCUAUUUUUAUCUUGGCAAUUAAGAGGUUUCAUGCUACAAUUCUCAGGAUUGGGCCAGUUUGGGGUUUGCAGGCCAUCACCCCGGUGUGGGGGGCUCCUGGCUGGGAAUGCUUACUCUUCUCCAAAGCAGAGGAGCUGAAAGGCUUGAGGGGUGCCCACUUCCCCCUCCAUGCUCCUCACCUCACAGAGGGGAGGCCUGGCAGCUCCCACCUGGGAAAGCUGUGGCCUAGCAAAGGACGGCGGCCACUUAGAGGCUCGGGUCCAGGAGGCCUAGAGCCACAGGCUCCAUGGCCCUCUCAGGGCGCCUGAGAUGAGACCCAGAGGCUGCGGACACCAGCGUGGAGGGUGUUUUCCAUGAACGUUCUGGCACAGAAGCCGUGUGAAACUCCAAGGGAGGUGGGGGUGGUGCUCCAAUCCGAGGCCUGGUUCCUAAAGAGGCUGCUCCAGACCCCAAGUGCUCCUGCCGUGUUUCCCUGGCCCUCCUGCCAGCACCCCGGACUUCACCUCCCUGCAGAACCCAGGAUGUGGCUUGCACGCUGCAGUGAAUACAACACGCCCUGUUCUGCAUCCACACUGCAUCGUUAGAGGGCCACACACACGCCAAUGUGAAAGUGCACUGGGUUCAGAGCCUUCCCCAGAGAAGCACAGCAGCCGGCCAGCUCCUGACAUGCCGAGGGUGACUCAUUGCACAGUGAAUACACACGCUUCACCCGGGCCCUUCCUCGGCCAGGAAUGCACCUGCCGCCACCUCACAUCACUCCACAGAGACCUGCCCUGUCCUCCAAAAGCUCUUCCUCCAAGAAGCCUUGUGGGAUGAUCCAGCUGUCACUCACCUCCCUAACUGAAGCAGUGAAGUGAAGCCCAGAGACACCCAGCCACCGCCUUCCAAGACGAAGGCCAGCAGGAGCCCCCGGAAGGGGUUCCAACUCUGCCUCCCCUCGCCCUGCACACCAGCCAUACACACCCAUGCCUGAGCCCCCUCCCCAGACGGUAGUUUCUGGAGGACAGAAAACCAGCCCUGUGGUCUCUGUAGCCUCCACCGCCGCCACCCCCACCCCAUGCCCACCGGGGCCUUGCCUGGAGCCACCACUCAGCCCAGAGCCGAGGUCAAGCCAAUGGAUCUGUGCAGAAACGCUCUUUAAAAUGCAUUACGUGCAGGACUUCAAAGAGACACCCGCUGCUUGGUGUAUUUCAAAAAGGUGCAAGUGGGUGAUGAACGACCUCGGCUUGUUACCAGGCUGAGGAAUAAGGGCUCUGUCUGUCUGCCAGGAAGUAAAGUGUGGGCAUAUGUCACCUUCGGGAUGCGCUGGCGGGAGGCUCCUGAGCCCGUUGGACAGGAAGGCGCAGCCCCCAGUUCAUCAGUGGUUCUGAUGUGAGGGGCGGCCCAGUGGGAGGGAGAGGGGCCCCAUGUCCAUCAGGGGAGGUGGGGCUCAGCUUCCUGGCCCCUGUGCAGAGAGGAAGCUUCUGCGAAGCUGCCUCAAGUCAUGGACAAACAGGUGUGACUGUUCCUUGUUUUUUUCUUUUUAACUAAUCCAGCAGAUUCUAUCUUUGAACUUUUCCUUCCCGGGUGGUACUCCGAGACAGGUCUAAGGCAGUUUCAUCCUAGCUUGGCUUGGUGGGAAAAAACUGGUUGAGUUUGUCUAUAGUAUAUUAAUUACAUCCUCUGUUCUCUCUCCUCCUAGAGCUAUCAGCAGAAUUAAAACUGGGAUGCACUCUUAGCAACCCGGUAUUAAAUCCACCCCAUGUCCGGAGCCCCAGGUCAGCCACUGCAGGAAGAGGAAAGAGUCCAAGAGGCCGUCCUGGUGCUCCUCCUGGACUUGCGAACAGAUGCAGGGGGACUCCAAGGCCAUUACGGAGCUAUGUGUCACUGAGUCCAAAGGGACAGUCUCUACACGGAGCAGAGGAACUCAGGAAGGUGCUGGGUGGAGGGGCGGCAGGCAGCGGGGCGCAGCCGGGGACCCCUGGGAGAGCCACAUCUGCAGCGUGCCCUCUCUUGGGGCAGCAGAGACGGCUGCGUGUGCAUUUCCUUCCUCCCAUACUGCAAAUCCAUCCCCUGCUUACCUCGGGUGCUGGCACGGGGCUGUGCAGAGAAACACGCAGGAGAGAAGAUGGGCUGGUCGCCUAGGAGAGGGCAUGACUGCCCUGGGGAGAGUGGCUGGGCAAUUACUCACACAGACGAUUUCUUCCAAGACCCACAGCUUCUCAGCAGGGCCCUGGGAAGGCCACUAUGUGCCCUAGGGUAAGUCAUUUGCUUCUGAGAGCUGCAUCUCCAUCUGCAGAUGAGAAGUGCCUGCUGCCCAGGCCCUGGUGCAUCUGCCACGCCUGCACUUCCAUACUCCGACCCAACAGAGCGAUUGAUGAUCAAGGGCGUCGGACCUCGCCCUGUGCAGAGGGGCUGGCCCCUGGCUCAGCUUCCCUGGACAAGCCCCAUCCACCAAGCUUCCCACCUCCCUCCUGCUAAGGGGACAACAGAACAUGCUGUCUUCCCAUGUCAACUGCUCGGGCUGGAACCCUGCUUCUCCCCCCUGAGGAGAGCAUGACCUGCGUGAGGGGCACUCCCCUCUGCCUCGGUUGCCUGGUCUAUAGAAUGAGGACUGAGACAGUGUAAAGUCCUUCAAAUAGCCCUGACACAGGAAGCCCUCAAUAAGGUCACUUCUUUCGGGGCGAAUAUUAUCAGGAUGCUGUUUUGAAAAGGAAGCGCACGGUCGCUGUGGCACACCUCCGAGAGUGUCUGACUUGGCCCUGAUCGCUGCCUGAGGCCCGCUGCACAAGGUGCAGCUUCAGGUCUUCACUUGUGCCUGGUGACCUCGUGGGAGGUGCCUCCAUCUCUUCCCAUUUUGGGAGGAAAACACGGCGUGCAAAUCCCCAGCCAUCCACAGAAUCCCACCUACGGGAUGACUCGGUUCCUAGAAAAGAGACCAGGAAGAGAGGCCACAGGCAGGCUCUUCCAAACUGAGGCUUGGCCCCAGAAAACCCUGCCUCUGAUGUCUCUGGACCAUUGGAUGGGAACCCCCUCCUCAAAUCCUGGCUCUGCUCAACACUCGGGAUGCGGUUGGUCUGUUUGUCAGACCCCACACAUUACGUCAACAGGUAAGAGAUGAAAACAUGUCGCAGCUGCGUCUGUCCAUCGGCCAUAGCAGGUUUUCAAAAUCGGCUGCGUUUUCCUCUCAUGGCAUAUGGAAAUUGGAUGCUAAAUUUUUGUUGGAAGUACUUGGGUCUAUAUUUAGACUUCAUGAAAUUGAAGUGGAAACCAGAUCCACGCAUCCCAGUUGUUCCAAACAAACUUUAAAGUUUUCCAAUAACUGAGUCAAGUGUUAGUUUUGAAUUUUCAUUUUAAUUAAGUAAAAUGAAACAUCUGCUCCUCAGUCACGUGAGCCACGUUUCAAGUGCUCAAAAGCCGCAUGUAGCUGGUGGCGGCCGCUGCACAGGCUGGUGCCCAGAGAGAGCAAGUCUUCCUUCCAUCAUCAGUCCUGAAAGAUCCCUUCCUGGGUGCCUCAGGGAAAUGGGCGUGCUUGUGCACAUCUCCACUGAACACAUGAAUGUUGGAAACUCAGGUACUGGCAUGGGGGUGUGUGGGCAGCUGCAGGAGCCAGAGGAGGGUCCUUCCCCAGCCCCCAGCUCUAGCCACCGUGUCCCUGGGAGAGGGCAUUGCCAGCUAUGGGGAGCCACCAGAGCUCCCCCGCUACCCCGUGCCCAGCCCUGCAUUUUAGUAGACAGUUUUCUCCCACUAUAUUUAUUGAGUAGCUAUUACAGGCUUGGUAUUGUUUAGGUGCUGGGGACACAAACACAUACAGAUAAAACUGCUGUCUGCAGGAGCCACAUUCUCCUGCCAGGUAGGGUCCUGAGGCUGAUCAGCCUUACCGAGGUUCGGACCAGGCCUGCAGGAUCUGCCCUUUUCAAUCUUGAGCUCUUCUCCUUGUCCCUCAUACCCUGUGAACGCCACCCAGCCUAUUGCACAUUUCGGGUCCCACACGCCUCCUGGGGCCCGGCCCACCUCCACCCUCCCCACCUCUCCCUCCUUCUCAUUCCUCGAGGCCCACAACACUGUGGUAGCAGGAGGCCUCACCAGCUUGUGGCUCAGCCUGAAGAUGAUAAAGCCCAUGGGGCCCACCCAACAUCUGGAGCCAGGAGGAGCAUGACAUUCCUUCUGCCCUCACCGCUGAACCUGAGGGGAGAGCAGCGCCCACCUGCAGGGGUGACCUGCCUGGUGCCGUCCCCCUACCCUCCACAACCUCGCCUCUCCCCAAAGGGCCAACAGGCUCUACGUGCCCUAGGUGCCCCCUCACAUCCUGACAUCCCUGAGCCUCAGUUUCCUUGCCUGUCAAAUGGGGAGAAUCUGCCCCCUGCAGGUGGUAGAAUUACAUGGUGGAUCCGCAUUACCAGCACUAGUCCGUUCAGCGUGACAUGUACGCUCUGUGUGAAGUGACGUGGCACGUGGGCGAGAGGCGGGCAUCCUGGAGCCCCCUCUACCACCCCUUAUGGACUGGGUGUUACCUGUGAGUCCCUUCAGCACUGUCCUCACCUCGACGGCAGUUGUGAUAUCAAACGGGUGGAUUUAUGUGGCUUUACUGACGUGGAGCAGGCGGAUGGGCCAGCUGCCGGCUGUGCGGCCUGGGGCGGGUGGGGGGACAGGAGUGCAGGGGCAGCCCUGAGGCUGAAUCCCUAGGACCAGGAGGUGGGAGAAUUCCCCGAGGGAGGGAGAGAGGGGUGCGGUGUGAGCACAGACGCAUCAGGAAUUCAGUGGAUAGUGUCCCAGACAGGAAAGUCGGACAGAGCCACAGAAGCAUGCGUGUUACACUGCAUGAAGCAAGGACCAAAGAGCAGACGGUGGGGGCCCAGGGGUCGGGCAAACGGACCCGAGAGCAGGACAAAGGACAGCUUUUUCAGGCUGAGCAUUCAGAAAUCUGUGGCCUUAAAUUUACAUACAUUACUUCGUUAAAAAGAAAAAGUUAGAACAAUACUAGAUUUCCUUAAUUCAAUAAUCAUAGUAACAGACUCUGAGAGGCAGGGAUAUCGGAAUGGAUUAUGUCAGGUUCAUCUGUGGGUCAUUUUUAAAUGCUGGAGCAGCCACCAGUGAGUAGUACGCAGCAGUUAAAGAGAAUGAGGUACAUCUAAUGUACCAAGGUGGAAAGGUGGGGCACGCUUGUACUGAAAACAUAUUUGUUGUUUAUUCGAAAUUCUGAUGUAACUGGGUGUCCUGCAUCUGCGUUGCUAACUCUGGUGGCAGCCCUGUGCUUUGAAGAUCUGGGCCCUUUUGAGGGCUUGAUGAGAAAUGCGGGCCUUCUUCUGGAAGAGAGACCAGGCCCCACUCUGCAAACAAUCCCAGGGACGGAUCCCUCCGAAAGUCCACCCAUGGGUUUAGAUCAGGACCCAGCCAACUUUUUCUGCAAGGUGCCAGAUGGCAAAUAUCUUCAGCAAAAGCGGCUAUAUACGGUACAUAUACAAACGGGCACGGGUGUGUGCCAA